UCCUAGUGGCGAACGGGUGAGUAACGCGUUGGUGACCUGCCCCGAAGAGGGGGACAACAGCUCGAAAGGGCUGCUAAUACCCCAUGUGGUCGUGGAGAUUAGAUGCUCUACGUCUAAAGGAGCAAUCCACUUCGGGAGGGGCCUGCGCCCCAUCAGCUUGUUGGUAGGGUAAUGGCCUACCAAGGCGAUGACGGGUAGGGGACCUUAGAGGGUGACCCCCCACACUGGCACUGAAACACGGGCCAGACACCUACGGGUGGCAGCAGUAGGGAAUAUUGCACAAUGGGCGAAAGCCUGAUGCAGCAACGCCGCGUGCGCGAAGAAGGCCUUCGGGUCGUAAAGCGCUUUUCUGGAGGAAGAGAAAGGACGGUACUCCAGGAAUAAGGAUCGGCUAACUACGUGCCAGCAGCCGCGGUAACACGUAGGAUUCAAGCGUUAUCCGAAUUUACUGGGCGUAAAGCGCGUGUCGGCGGUUCGGUAAGUUGGACGUGAAAGCUCCCGGCUCAACUGGGAGAAGCCGUUCAAAACUGCCGGGCUAGAGGACGGUAGAGGGAGGUGGAAUUCCCGGUGUAGUGGUGAAAUGCGUAGAUAUCGGAAGGAA
rnacentral:rRNA from 1 species